UACGUAGGGCGCAAGCGUUGUCCGGAAUCAUUGGGCGUAAAGAGCUCGUAGGUGGUCUGUUACGUCUGCUGUGAAAACCUAGGGCUUAACCCUGGGCCUGCAGUGGAUACGGGCAGACUAGAGGUAGGUAGGGGAGAAUGGAAUUCCCGGUGUAGCGGUGAAAUGCGCAGAUAUCGGGAGGAACACCGGUGGCGAAGGCGGUUCUCUGGGCCUUACCUGUCACUGAGGAGCGAAAGCGUGGGGAGCGAACAGG
rnacentral:rRNA from 1 species